rnacentral:lncRNA from 1 species
CAGCUGGCGGCCUCCGCUUCAGGCUCGAGGCGCCCGCAGCCGCUCUCCACCCGGCACCGGCCCGCAGAGGAGGCCACCGCGGCGACGACUCGGCCGCGGACGCUGGCGGUUUCCGUGUGUAGUGCGUCGCCCGCCGGCCGACCUGAGGGAACCAGCGCGCGGCAGCCCUCGGCUGGCCGUCCGGGCGUGACGUCACGGGACGGCGGGCGAGGGCGGCCAAUCCCGGGGGCUCCGCGUGCGGGACUCUCCGCGCCACACUGCACCGCGCUGGCUGCCCGGGCCCGUCGGGUGUCCCCGGGGAGCCCCCAGCUCCGUGGGGUUGUGUGAGCUUCGAUGGGCACGAGAGAUCUCAUUCGAGACACUGUAUAACCUGACAAAUACGUUGCUGUCAAUGCAACCGAGAGUCAGGGUUGUCCUUUUCAAUCCAGCUUUUUAUAUACCUAACAUUACUGAUUUCAAGAUGCCUAGAAGGUCA